GCGGCACUGGAGACUCAAGCCCUCUAUCCACAGAACAGGUAUCAGCUUAGGCAGCCUCCGUGCAAGCUCCCUCAGCAACCUGCUAACAUAGCCCUGACCUGGAGAGACCCGUGACUGGAGGGGCAAAAGGACGGCUGUCUCCAUAGUCAAUGGUGUUUGUCACAU
rnacentral:sRNA from 1 species